UUCCCAGCCGCUCACCCCGCCUGUCCCGCUCGCCGUGGCCGAUGACCCACACUCGCGCCCCCUCCCCAACCCUUCCUUCCCCCUCGCGCCGCCACCCUACUGGCCUCGCCUCUUCCCCCCUUUCUCCUCUAGCGUCUUCUCCCCAUCUGCUCCGCUCCACCUCUCCGCGGACGCGCCCAAGUCCGAGCGCGCCAUGUUCGCCGGCCCGCGCACGCGCCUACACCGGCUCUGCUUCGUCCAGCCCGCGCCGUGCUGGGUCACCUCCUCCUGCGCCACGCGGGCUCCGCUACUCCCGACCGUGCCCCUGCGCAUGCCCCUGCAGCGGCUGCGCUCCCACGAGCCGCCCCCAGUGCCCCCCGCUCGGUCGCCGGCUCCCUCCGUCCGGCUCCGCUUCUGCCCAUGCCCCGGCCAGCUCCGCCUAUGCCUUGUGCAACAUCGAUCUCCCCGAGUUCUCUUUCGCUGGUGGGGGAGCUGUUGGCGACGAUCUGGAUGAGCGAGAGUUCAGCAACAGGGGAGGGGUGAAUCAACGGCGGCAGCAGAGAGGGUGGAGAGAAUUGCAAGAGCCUAGGCGCCCAUCACCAUGGCUUUCUCGUUAUUCGCGUGCCACCAUCGCGGUCAUUAUUGGAGCUUUGAAAAGGUUCAUGGGUCAGGCGACGCACAUGGGGGUGUCUGCUAAGCAUGCCACUGGGUGGGUGACGAAGUGAUGCAGUCAAUGGGAACCAGCAACGGCAGAGCCCCCCCCCCCCCCCCCCCUUCUCCGCCUCGUCACUGUCGCCACCUAGCUUGACCUCGAGCCGAAGAGCAACUCAGCAGGAUGCCGGGGGACAGGUGCAGCAGCCAGCCUCGGCAGGAGGAGCUCGAGCCGACUCGGCAGAAGGAGUAUAGCACCAGACACGCCCGUGAGUUUCUCUCUCUAAUCCCCUUGAAACUACAUUCCCGAUCUGGAGCGGGAGGCUAGGGAUGCCUCGUAUGUGUGUCCGUAAUUUUCUUCUCAGUUUGACAAGGAAUAUGCAUAUGGUAGUCUUCUGAUUUUGGGUGUAGAUUCUAAUUUUGUUGGCAAAACAAUGGCAGAUUUCUCCAUUAGCUUAUAUGAUUUGGGGCUGAUUUUACUCGUGUGAUUCCUAUUCAUGGCUUUGCUGUGGGAGAUAGCAAAAAUGAAGUGAAUUAAGUGUGAAAAAAUAGCAGGAGCAAUGCCUGGGCUGUAGAUUUCUCCAUUAGUUUAGUCAUGGCUAAUAUGAACUUCUCUAUUAUAUUGCUUAUGGAUUGUUCAGUAAAAUGAAACCUCAUGGUGUGGCAUGUCACCUCCCUUGCACAUAUACUUGUACCCAAUUUAGACCAUCAGUAGAACUGUCUAUAUUGUACAGGUCAACUAAUACACAGCACCCCGGCGGCCGGUGCAUACAUAUCACUGCACGCACACACAACGCCACCUGACUCCUAUUUCUUCAGUGCAGCACUGUGACAUGGCCAUACUCUGUAUGGACACAGUGGCAGAUUACAAACUCUUUGCAGUAGUGGAUCUAAUAAACAAGAUGUCUUAGGUUUGAAAGCAACAUGAAGAUAAAGGAGAUAACUUUGGAUAUGUUAUUAUCUUUACCAUUAUACGUAUAUAAUUUCUUAAUGUACGAUGGAGCUGACCUCACGGGUUGACUGACGGCGACACGAAAGUCGGAGGGAGCAGAGUAGUUUUGCAAAAAUGGAGGAUACCAGACUGACCCAUGGAGCAUGAUAUCCUCCUUGUCAGGGGCCACCUUACUUGUAUGGCUUCAGGCUGAGGAGACCCUUCUAAUUAAGGUGGUUACUACUUACUUGCUGAUUUGAACCUAGAAGAGAAUGUCAUUUCGUGUUUGUUAGUAGGAUCUCAUGUUUAAUCUACAGAUCUAUUUAGUCAGUGUAUUUGCAGACCAGUUGCGAGUUUUUACCUGGGAAAAUGAACAUUUUUCUACCUCAAAUUUGCAUAUCAGUAUCCCUGUUUGAUUUAAGAUUGCUUUUCUUAUUAUGAAGAAGAUUUGUGCUGCUGCUAUUGCGUUCUUCAGUUUCUGGUCAUUGGUUCAUCUGCAAAUGUGUGGACCUCCCUCCCUUUUGCUCGAUUGCUCCACCUUGCUCCUUUGGCUGAUUAUAACAGCUAUUUCCGCAGCCCAUGACGCUGGUUGAGGUUAGUCUUUCAGCAUAUGUUUUCUUCAUUACAUGUCCUUUAAAUUGCAGCAUAGGCCCCUUACAAAUAAGUUAAUUAACUAGAUGUCUGCAUAAAUAUAUUUGCCUGAUGGGUUUCCCUACUAUGGCUCAUGGUCAUAGAUGUAGUUUGCCUUUGCUGCUGUUGUUUCUCUCAAUAUUUCUAUCCCACUAUACUGUAUGUGUUCUAAAUGUACCGGUAUAUGAAAGAUGAUUAUCUCCAUUAUUAUUGUUCGUACUACCAUUUUUAUCCAAGAUUCAAAACACCUAACACGUGCCCUUUUUUAAAGUAUCUUUAACGUAGCCUAUUGGUUCUUAACUUACUAUCAACUACUAGCGAAGAUAGCUUUCUGAAAUAAGCAUGAUAAGCAUGAACAUUGUUCUACUCACGGGAAGAACCCUCAGGUGAUGAUAGGUCAUGGUUCUUUGCCAUUUCCUUUACAAAAUCGGUUCAAUCUUGUAAUUCUAAGUUAGUAUCAAGUCCUAUAUACCUUUCUGUUUGUAUAAAUUCACAACUUUCAUGGAAGCUCUCAAAUUGCGAGUAUUAAUCUCAGGUUGUUGGGUAUGUUUGCUGGUAGUAUGCUGCCAUGCAUCCACUGAGCAAUUUUCUUGUGAUUUACUUGUGAUGACACAUUUCUAAUCUUUCUCUUUGGGAUACUGAAAUAUGGUUUGCCUUGGGAAAUAUCUGAGAUAGGAUCCAUGCUACUUUAUUUGAAUUGUUUUUAUGUUUGCACCCUUAUUUUGAUUUUAGUUACGAUGUUCUCUUUCUUUUGAUUGCUCACAUGUGUUUUUUGAUUUUAGUUACGAUGUUACUUGUGAUGACACAUUUCUAAUCUUUCUUUUGUCACCAUUCUUUGAGAUAUGAAAGAUGAUGUAUUUUGUUGCA